rnacentral:rRNA from 1 species
UACGGAAGGCAGCAGUGGGGAAUAUUGCACAAUGGGCGCAAGCCUGAUGCAGCCAUGCCGCGUGUAUGAAGAAGGCCUUCGGGUUGUAAAGUACUUUCAGUCGUGAGGAAGGUGUUAAGGUUAAUAACCUUAGCAAUUGACGUUAGCGACAGAAGAAGCACCGGCUAACUCCGUGCCAGCAGCCGCGGUAAUACGGAGGGUGCGAGCGUUAAUCGGAAUUACUGGGCGUAAAGGGCACGCAGGCGGUUAAUUAAGUUGGAUGUGAAAUCCCCGGGCUUAACCUGGGAAUGGCAUUCAAGACUGGUUAGCUAGAGUCUUGUAGAGGGGGUGAAUUCCAUGUGUAGCGGUGAAAUGCGUAGAGAUGUGGAGGAAUACCGGUGGCGAAGGCGGCCCCUGGGACAAAGGACUGACGCUCAUGUGCGAAAGCGUGGGGAGCGAAACAGGAUUUAGAUACC